CUUGAACGCUGGCGGCAGGCCUAACACAUGCAAGUCGAACGAGUGGCGGACGGGUGCGUAAUGUCUGGGAAACUGCCUGAUGGAGGGGGAUAACUACUGGAAACGGUAGCUAAUACCGCAUACCAUCAGAUGUGCCCAGAUGGGAUUAGCUUGUUGGUGGGGUAACGUCUCACAAAGGCGACGAUCCCUAGCUGGGCUGCGAGGAUGACCAGCCACACUGGAACGGAGACACGGGCCAGGUUCCUGCGUGAGGCAGCAGUGGAGAAUAUUGCACAAUGGGCGCAAGCCUGAUGCAGCCGUGCCGCGUGUAUGAAGAAGGCCUUAGGGUUGUAAAGUACUUUCAGCGGGGAGGCGUUACCCGCAGAAGAAGCACCGGCUAACUCCGUGCCAGCCGCCGCGGUAAUAC
rnacentral:rRNA from 1 species